UCGACGCUACAAUCCUCUCCUUCCGUCGCGUACCACACCGCACGGAUAGAGGCAGUUGAGCCUUUCCACUGUAAUUUGCUUCGAGCCUCUUCUGCUCGUUUUUCUGCCUUCGCUUUGCGCUCGGAUCGGUGGAUUCGUGGUUAGUCUGUUGGUCCGAUUGUGAGAGCGUUUGGAGAGGUGGAAGAAGGUCUGGGGAUGGGAGAGGUUUGACGAGGAUUAAGCAACUUUCCAGAAAAAUUUUUGAACGAGGCUUCAGAAUUGUUGUUAGAGUUGAAACUAGUUUUUGGAAAGAAAGAAGAAAGAUCAGAAAACUGUUUUGGGAAAAGAUAAAACAUGGUCUUUAAAAGAAAUUUAAGCUACAAUUUCAAGUAUGGCUAGAACUGACUUAAAGCUCAAGUUUCACUAAAUAGAAGAUUUUUGGUUGAACACAAGUAGCUAACAUACUGCAAAAAAGAUGAGGAUAACAUUUAAUGAACAAGUCUUUUCGAAACCACAUUCCAAACAACCUAAUGACGCCCGAAUACCUUAGAUAACAUUAGCACCAGUGUUACAAGCUACUGGUUCCUAGUCAUUCAAAACGCUCGAACCCUUUAUACACAGCUAUGUUAAGUCUAUACACCCACGAAAGUAACAUUUCAUGUAUAAUACAGUCUGCCCACGAAAAUCACAUUCCACGUAUAAUAGUUUGCGCACAAAAGAAACAUUCGAAAUAUAAUAGCUCGCUAACGAAACGAACAUUCCAAGCAUGUACGCUACACUGGCAAUUGUUAAAGAAUCUCUAUUGUGAACAUUUCUAUUUCAUCUCAACGAAAUUAUCAUAGGUGAAAAAGUAAUCGAAAAAGUCUUAUAGGCUUAAUAGAUAUUGUAGCGAAAUAAACUUGCAGACUUAAUAGACUAACGAUUUCGUGACGAAA